CGAACAUCAGGGCCCUCCAGACCCAGGCGCCCCAACAGUAUCCUUUUCACCUUCCUGCCAGCCCUUCGGCUCGCUUCGCCGUGGACCGGGGUUAGGGGUGUCGGGGACUGUGGCCCCUCCGGGGACUCUCCUGCCCGCAACCACUGCCCAGCCAGGGGCAGGGACGCUUCUCCUCCAGCCCACGCACCCGACCUGGCGCCGGAGCUUUUGGGGGUGCCCUGGCAGCAGCUCUGCGGGGGAUGGGGAACUCCCCCCUCCCCCGGACCCUCUGCACUACUGUGCAGACUAGCUCUAUCGGCCUUGCUUCUGCAGCCCUUCCCUUUUGGAGCCGGGGCGGGGUGGGAGACACCGUUUCCCCCUUCUCGUGUCUCCUCCCCUCGAAACCCGACCCCCCCCCCCCCCUUUUAUUAGGCCGAAUUUGCUGGUGCCUGUGACCAGCCCCGCAGGGAAGGCUUUUUCUCUGAUUGUUGUAAGGACGACACCCUCCUCCUGAUCUCCCUUCAGCUCCCGCUGCAGCGGGGCAUGGUGGGCUUCCUUGAUUAUCGUGGUUAAUACAUAAUAAACUUUAUUGGUAAAUUUCCCGUGUGAAACUAAACUCAGCUCGUUCCAAAGCGAUUGGGAGAGUUGUGAUGUGGUUUGUGGUGGAACGCGAUCUAAGGAGGAAAUGUUACGCCGGACGCUUCCCUGUCUUUGACCUUUUUUAAAGGAAGAGGAAGUUAACUGACAUUACCCAUCACCCCCAAAAGUCUCACUUCUUGGAAGACUGGUGUUAAAUGCUGAAUAUUUUUAAAGGGCUUGAAUUUACUCUUCCUAGGCCUGAUAUCUGGAGGGUACCGUGGUUCCUGGCUGAAAAGUCUAGUGUUGAAUAUGUCUAAUCUCAUGUUAUUUGCUCGACUGUAGAGUUUUUGCACAGCUUUGAUUGAAAAGACUUGGUGACGAGGUAUUUUAGUUAAAAACCAGCGGGUGAAGGUAAAACGUUGAGUUCAUGAAUUCCACGGAGAAUUAGAAAGGCAUUAUUACCUACCUGAGAGUAACAUUUCAUUAUACACCCCUCCCCCCAAUCCGUUGUAUUUAUGUAAAUCAAUAAAUAAUUAUUGGAUGUUUA